CCCGCGCGCCCCGGGAAGUAACGACGAUAGCACGUGCACGCUGUAGGCGGAUGGCGGCGCGGCGUCGUCUGGGUUGCGGAGCUCAGGCAGCCCCGGGAAGUCGCCGAGCAGGGCGGCCGGUACCUCGGCGCCCGGCGAGGGGCUGAGCGCGCGCAGCAGCUGUUCCCCCGGCUCGGUGGCGCCCAGGGAAUUUACAGAAGCGCAGUGACUUCACAGCUGAAAUCUCAACCAAGAGCCGAAAACUGAAGCCCCAGUUCCCUCAGCAGCCCAGGCCCCUUCUCCAGCUCUGGGCAAACAGCUCUCCCACUGUUAGGAAGAGCGCUUGCCUGUCAACAGAGCUCAGGACCGCUUCAGGAACACCAUGGGAAAACAGCCUUCCGACCCAGCCCAGCUGGAAGACGUCGGUGGCCAUGACAUACUGAGGAGAAAGAAGCAGAGAAUGAAAACUCUAGUGAGCACAGUGUCUCCUCCAUGCUCAGCACAGGACACACCUGGGACCAGCCUUGGGAGUGAGGGCAGCACCUUCCCCAGUGCCCACCAGCUGGGUGGUGGGUGCCCAUUUCAGUUCAACACACACACACACAAAUCUUAAAAACCCAAAAGGGCAGAGACUGGGAAGCUCCUAGACAGCUGACGUGUGGUUUCUAGAGGUCAGGGAGGUUUAGUAAAACGGCUCCAACGUCACUGCAGGUCACAUCCUCUGCAUCCCCAGUGUCCACCUGCACAGCCCUUCUGUGUCCUCUGUAAUACCAGGAAGUAUAGGCUUUCCCCAGGAUGCUGCCUCAGCUGUGUCUGCCUCUACCAGGCUUCACAUCUCAGAAUCAGCCCCGUGGCAACGUGACACUGAGCCUCCAGGAUGAAAGCCAGGUCCCCAGCACUCUCCCAGGCACCUGGGCUCCAUUUAAGAGGCCCCAUCAUUCCAUCUGGUGGACAGAAAACUAGACACUGAUUCUGCUUGUAUCCUUGGCCUAAGGCUUCACCUCCUUAACCUUAUCUUGAUCAGACUUACUUUAAAAUAUUAGGGGCUGGAGAUGACUCAGCCGAUAAGAGUCGGCUUGCUGCUCGCUUCUCUGACAGGAGUUUGGGGAUUGGUUCCCAGCUCACAGUCACCUGUAACUCCAGCUCCAAGGGAUCUGCUGCAUGUACUGUACUCAUAUGCACACAAUAA